rnacentral:rRNA from 1 species
GGCUUAACACAUGCAAGUCGAGGGGCAGCAUACCCAGCAAUGGGUGAUGGCGACCGGCGGAAGGGUGCGUAACGCGUGAGCAACAUACCCUAUACAGGGGGAUAAGCCAGGGAAACUUGGUCUAAUAUCCCAUAGGAAAUAGAUAAGGCAUCUUGUUUAUUUUAAAGCUUCGGUGGUAUAGGAUUGGCUCGCGUGACAUUAGCUAGAUGGAGGGGUAACGGCCCACCAUGGCAAUGAUGUCUAAGGGUUCUGAGAGGAAGAUCCCCCACACUGGGACUGAGACACGGCCCAGACUCCUACGGGAGGCAGCAGUGAGGAAUAUUGGACAAUGGAUGGAAAUCUGAUCCAGCCAUGCCGCGUGCAGGAAGACGGCCCUAUGGGUUGUAAACUGCUUUUAUACGGGAGCAAUAAGGUCUAUGCAUAGAUUGAUGAGAGUACCGUAUGACUAAGCAUCGGCUAACUCCGUGCCAGCAGCCGCGGUAAUGCGGAGGAUGCGAGCGUUAUCCGGAUUUAUAGGGUUUCAAGGGUGCGUAGGCGGCUUUGUAAGUCAGCGGUGAAAUUUUGCAGCUUAACUGUAAAAGCGCCGUUGAUACUGUGAAGCUAGGAUUUGGUUGCUGUGGGCGGAAUGUGUGGUGUAGCGGUGAAAUGCAUAGAGAUCACACAGAAUAUCGAUUGCGAAGGCAGCUCACAAAGCCAAUAUUGACGCUGAGGCACGAAAGUGUGGGGAUCAAACAGGAUUAGAUACCCUGGUAGUCCACACUGUAAACGAUGAUAACUCGCUGUCGGCGAUAGACCGUCGGUGGCCAAGCGAAAGCGAUAAGUUAUCCACCUGGGGAGUACGACCGCAAGGUUGAAACUCAAAGGAAUUGACGGGGGCCCGCACAAGCGGAGGAACAUGUGGUUUAAUUCGAUGAUACGCGAGGAACCUUACCCGGGCUCGAACGGUGCAUGAAUAAUACAGAGAUGGAUUAGUCCUUCGGGACAUGUAUCGAGGUGCUGCAUGGUUGUCGUCAGCUCGUGCCGUGAGGUGUCGGCUUAAGUGCCAUAACGAGCGCAACCCUUGUCAUUAGUUACCAUCAGGUCAAGCUGGGGACUCUAGUGAGACUGCCACCGUAAGGUGUGAGGAAGGGGGGGAUGACGUCAAAUCAGCACGGCCCUUAUGUCCGGGGCGACACACGUGUUACAAUGGGAGGUACAGAGGGCAGCCAGUUAGUGAUAACGCGCCAAUCUCAAAAACCUUUCUCAGUUCGGAUUGGAGUCUGCAACUCGACUCCAUGAAGUUGGAUUCGCUAGUAAUCGCGCAUCAGCCAUGGCGCGGUGAAUACGUUCCCGGGCCUUGUACACACCGCCCGUCAAGCCAUGGAAGCUUGGGGUGCCUAAAGUUCGUAACCGAAAGGAGCGAC